rnacentral:rRNA from 1 species
AGUGAACGCUGGCGGUAGGCCUAACACAUGCAAGUCGAACGGCAGCACAGGAGAGCUCGCUCUCUGGGUGGCGAGUGGCGGACGGGUGAGGAAUACAUCCGAAUCUACUUUUUCGUGGGGGCUAACGUAGGGAAACUGACGCUAAUACCCCAUACGACCUACGGGUGAAAGCAGGGGAUCUUCGGACCUUGCGCGAUUGAAUGAGCCGAUGUCGGAUUGGCUAGUUGGCGGGGUAAAGGCCCACCAAAGCGACGAGCCGUAGCUGGUCUGAGAGGAUGAUCAGCCACACUGGAACUGAGACACGGUCCAGACUCCUACGGGAGGCAGCAGUGGGGAAUAUUGGACAAUGGGCGCAAGCCUGAUCCAGCCAUACCGCGUGGGUGAAGAAGGCCUUCGGGUUGUAAAGCCCUUUUGUUGGGAAAGAAAUCCAGCUGGUUAAUACCCGGUUGGGAUGACGGUACCCAAAGAAUAAGCACCGGCUAACUUCGUGCCAGCCGCCGCCGUAA